AUGGCCACCAACAAAGCACCAGGACCGGACAAUAUUCCGGUGGAAUUUUAUCAAUCAUGUUGGGAGAUAGUAAAAGAGGAUAUUAUGUCCUUGUUUAGGCAUUUCCAUAGUGGGACGCUUGAUGUUCAACGUCUCAACUAUGAGGUGAUUACGUUGCUACCCAAAAUAUCUAGUGUUGACAAAAUUCAGCAGUUUAGGUCGAUAUGCCUCUUGAGAUGUCCAUAUAAGCUCAUUGCAAAGGUAAUAGACCGUAGGGUUGAAGUGUAUGCCGAUAAGUUGAUCAGUUCCACUCAAAAUGCUUUUGUGAAGCGGAGAAACAUCAUGGAUGGGGUGCUAUCUCUCCACGAAAUCCUUAACUAUACUCAUGUUAAAAAGAGAGUGGGCAUUGUGUUGAAACUCGACUUUGAAAAAGACAUGACAAAGUCAACUGGGAAUUCCUUCUGGAAUGUCAUAGGUUGCGAGGCUUUAAUGAUACUUGGUGUGGUUGGGUCAAACAAAUUUUGUAUAACGGCACAGUUAGCAUCAAACUUAAUAAAUGGGUUGGACCCUACGUACUUUCAGAGUGCUAAAGGAGUGUGGCAGGGUGAUCCCCACUCCCCAUUCCUGUUUAACUGGCUGCCGAGUGUUUGGCCAAAAUGA
rnacentral:rRNA from 1 species